UACGGAGGGAGCUAGCGUUAUUCGGAAUUACUGGGCGUAAAGCGCACGUAGGCGGCUUUGUAAGUAAGAGGUGAAAGCCUGGAGCUCAACUCCAGAAUUGCCUUUUAGACUGCAUCGCUUGAAUCAUGGAGAGGUGAGUGGAAUUCCGAGUGUAGAGGUGAAAUUCGUAGAUAUUCGGGAAGAACACCAGUGGCGAAGGCGGCUCACUUGGACAUGUAUUGACGCUGAGGUGCGAAAGCGUGGGGAGCAAACAGG
rnacentral:rRNA from 1 species